CAGCAACAGCAGCAGCAGCAGA
rnacentral:miRNA from 1 species